rnacentral:lncRNA from 1 species
UGUCCUAAAACUAAAAGAAGGGGGUUGUGGCUCAGCGGUAGAAUGCUUGCCUCGCACGCACGAGACCCUGGGUUCGAUCCUCAGCACCACAUAAAAAUAAGUGAAAUAAAGGCAUUGUGUCCAACUAUAAGUAAAAAAUGAAAAAUAUUUUUUAAAAAUUAGGAAAAAAAGUGCUAAGGAUGUAGCUCAGUUGUAGAAAUACUUGCUUAUAGCACAAGGCCCUAGAUUCAGUUCCUAGUGCCACACACACACACACAAAUCUGUAGUGGAAAUAUAAAAUGGGAGUGAAGUCUUAAAUGUGUCUUUUGGGGCUGUCACAGUACUUGUAUCUCUGGUAUUUCUUUUUGGCCCUCCUGAUUGAAGAUAGUCCCAGAUCUUCAGCUAGGCAUCACUGGGUUAUGCUAUGGAUGAUUAGAUUCCCCUGCCCCACCCCCAAGUACUAGAGCUUGAAGCCAGGGUUGUUUUGUGUUGCUUGCAGUACUGGAAAUUCAACUUGGGGCUUCACUCAUGCUAGGCAAGUACUGGACCACUGAGCUACACCCCAGCUCCAUAUAUAUAAGUAAUAUAGAUAGUUUUGUUUUUUCCUUUUUUACUGGGGAUUAAACCUAGAGCCUUGCACAUGCUAGACAGGUGUUCUUUCACUGGGCUACAUACACAGACCUCCAGUGGCACUUCUGAGCUACAUCCUCAGCCCUUUAUUUUUUAUUUUGAGACAGGGUCUUGUUAAGUUUCCCAGGCUGUCCUUGAAUUUACGAUUCUGCCUCAUUCACCUGAGACACUGGAUCACAGAUGUGCACCACCUGUGAUUUAUAAAGAUGUGUGAGGAUUCAUGAUUGCCAGCUGAGUGGCUUUAGAAGUGACCAGGCAUGGGCCUGUGAUCUCAGCAACUCUGAUUGAUGCAGCACGAUCACAGAUUUGAGGCCAGUCUAGGCAACUUAGGGAGAUCCUAUCUCAAAAAAGCACUGGGAUGUAGCUCAGUACUCCUGUUUUCAAUCCCCCAGUACUGGGGUGGGGGUGGGGAGGUACUGAAGGGGCAAAGGUGAUUGAGGGUAUAAUUCACUAGUAGAGUGCUUGCCUGACAUGCAGGACACUGUGGGUUCCAUUCCCAAAAUCACAAAAACAGAAAGGGUAGCCUGGAAUGAGUUCCCUAGGGUCAGACAAGUAUAAUUACUGUCCCCAUUUUGCAAGUGGAUAUCAAAGAGGUUAAACAACUUGGUCAAAGGCUU